rnacentral:rRNA from 1 species
CCUACGGGAGGCAGCAGUGGGGAAUAUUGCACAAUGGGGGAAACCCUGAUGCAGCGACGCCGCGUGAGUGAAGAAGUAUUUCGGUACGUAAACCUCUAUCAGCAGGGAAGAAAAUGACGGUAACUGACUAAGAAGCCCCGGCUAACUACGUGCCAGCAGCGGCGGUAAUACGUAGGGGUCAAGCGUUUUACGGAUUUACUGGUUGUAAAGGGAGCGUAGACGGCAGCGGAAGGCUGGAGUGAAAUACAAUGGCUUAACCAUGGAACUGCGUUUGAAACUGUGCAGCUCGAGUGCAGGAGAGGGAAGCGGAAUUCCUAGUGUAGCGGUGAAAUGCGUAGAUAUUAGGAGGAACACCAGUGGCGAAGGCGGCUUACUGGACUGCAACUGACGUUGAGGCUCGAAAGCGUGGGGAGCAAACAGGAGUAGAUACCCUUGUAGUC